AGCAGCCGCGGUAAUUCCAGCUCCAAUAGCGUAUAUUAAAGUUGUUGCAGUUAAAAAGCUCGUAGUUGAAUUUCGGGAUUGACGUGAUGGUCAUGCCUUAAGGGGUAUGAACUGUCACUGUUGAUUUCUCACCUUCUGGAGAAACUUGAUGUCCUUUAUUGGGUGUCUUGCGGAUCCAGGACCUUUACCUUGAAAAAUUAGAGUGUUUAAAGCAGGCAUUUUUGCUCGAAUACAUUAGCAUGGAAUAAUAGAAUAGGACGGCAUGGUUCUAUUUUGUUGGUUUCUAGGAUCACCGUAAUGAUUAAUAGGGAUAGUUGGGGGCAUUAGUAUUCAAUUGUCAGAGGUGAAAUUCUUGGAUUUAUUGAAGACUAACUACUGCGAAAGCAUUUGCCAAGGAUGU
rnacentral:rRNA from 1 species